rnacentral:rRNA from 1 species
UACGUAGGGGGCUAGCGUUGUCCGGAAUCAUUGGGCGUAAAGCGCGUGUAGGCGGUUCGGUAAGUCCGCUGUGAAAGUCGGGGGCUCAACCCUCGAAAGCCGGUGGAUACUGUCGGGCUAGAGUACGGAAGAGGCGAGUGGAAUUCCCGGUGUAGUGGUGAAAUGCGUAGAUAUCGGGAGGAACACCAGUGGCGAAGGCGACUACCUGGCCUGUUCUUGACGCUGAGGCGCGAAAGCUAGGGAGCAACGGG